AAUUCUAAGUCUCUCAAAAUACAUAAGUGUUCAAAAGAGGCAUAACAGCCCAGAAAUUCCUAGAAGAACUAAACAGAAGCUUCUUCAGUAUCCUCCAGAGCGUUCUCCACAGAGACCUCAUCCUCCUCUGCUCACAUCCAAAAAUGGAUGAUCAUCGCAACAGGAAAACAUACAACAUACACAAACAGCGAGCAAGGGUGAGCUAAUUAUAUAAAUAAGACAACAUGCAUCAGAUUACUCAUGUGACCAUACAAAAGUGGAUUGAAAACAAAACCGGAUUAAAGCACACAACCUAAGCAUGUUAAUUUCUAGACCUGACUCGUCCGGACUUUAAAAUGAUAGUCGGGCUAUGGCGAGUCUUGCACCCGUGGUGACUUAUGAAACUUGGGUUCCCCACCCUGCCACACUCACAAGGUUAGUCCGUUCCGUGCCUUGAGGCAUACUGGGAGCCCCCAAGACUAAGGACCUCCUGCUACUCCUCACCACAUGGUUCAACCUCUCUAAGUGAGUAUGAUUGACCAUUGGAGCGUCAGAAUGACUCCCAAGGCUGAGCCCCUACUUUCAUUUUAAAACACUAAGGGCACCACCAUGAAUCCUCGCCUUGAGGAUCAUGGAAUUACGUCCAUNAACCAUGNUUGUUGCACUUAACAUCAAUUCAUAACCUUUAUGAUCACAUACUUUCAAGUUAACAACAUCACCUCAGUCAUAAUUUACAUUGUAAUCAU
rnacentral:lncRNA from 1 species